GACGAGGGAGCCUAGCGUUGUUCGGAAUUAUUGGCGUAAGGGCGCGAGUAGGCGGUGCUGUAAGUCUGUAGUGAAAUCUCUGGGCUCAACUCAGAGUCUGCUAUAGAAACUGCAGUGCUGGAGUGUGGGAGAGGUGAGGUGGAAUUCCCGGUGUAGCGGUAGAAAUGCGUAGAUAGUCGGGAGGAACACCUGUGGCGAAAGCGGCUCACUGGACCACAACUGACGCUGAGGCGCGAAAGCUAGGGGAGCAAACAGG
rnacentral:rRNA from 1 species